ACCAGCCAGUCCUCAUUUGGCUCUCCUACACAUUGCUGGCCACCCAAUGAGAGCUGGGACUCCGGCUUGGAGACUUUGCGCUCCUUCUUGGGGACGCCCUACUUGGGAGAGCAUGCCCUCUCCAGGCACAGCUUCUUGGGGAAGCAAUGCUGGGAGCCGGAGGUCUGGGCUGAGGGGUAUUUACAUCAAAGGUAACAUUCACUGAAGGGUGGCUGGUGAAGCCUCGGGUUCAUCAUCUCCACAGGGGCUGGGCUCUCAAAAACCAGGCGGCUGACCGGCUCAUUGGUCUCCGGAGGCAGGCUCAAGGUUUCCUGGAGGAUCAUCGGCUUCUUUCUUAGGCUGGUGAUCUCCUUGUCAGCACUUUGUAAGUCCUUCUGGGCUGACCUCAGUUCUAACUUGGCCUGAUCCAGCUCAGUGUUGAGAGUCUUCAACUUGCUCCUAGAGAACACCAAAUCCUUUUUCAACCUGUCAGCCAGCUCCCCUGAGGCCUUCCAAGCUUCCUUCAGAUUCUCAUACUCUUUCUAGAGGGACGCGCAGUACACAGCCAGCUGCUCCACCGCUGACUGUCCCACACCUAUGUCUCGGAUCAUCUCCUCCACCUCAGACCGCUGGCUCUGGAGUAGGAGCUCAAUUUGCUCCAUGGUUUUUCAUCUUGCACUUGAGUCGGUGGGCCUCCUGCCGCUGCUCCAGGAACUUCAUCUGAUUUUCAGGGUGGAACAUAGCAUCUCUGCCUUGUUUAAAGCGUUCUGCAGGGACUCCACAGUGGCAUUUCGUUCUUCCAGGGUGCCCGGUAGAGUGUCGAUAAUGGCCUGGCUGUCCCAUUUCUCCCUGUCUUUCUGGGAAAGCUGAGCUUUGACACUCUCCAGUUCAUUCUUUAAGAAUUCUACAUCCAAGACACUCUCCUCUUCCUGGGCGAGGUUGAAGAAAAGCUUGUUUAUAAUAGUCUUUUUGCCAACCUGGAUUCUACCCUGUGGGCAGGUCCGACUUGGUGCUGUCUCAGACCACUGGAUUAGGCAUUGCUGAUGAAAAGUGUGGCCACAGUGGAUGGCAGCCAUGUCACGGGAGUGAUCGAAGAAGUCGGAGCAGAUAGUGCACAGAGCGCGGAUAGGCAUGAUGGCUCGACUCAAGCAGCCCAGAAAGCCAGCUGCCGACGACAGACACAGUUUGGUGGCCGAACCCGCCGCCGCUCUGGUUCCUUCAAAUUUUGCUCCACCGCACGACUUCCGGGAGUGAACCGGAAGGAAUAACAAACCCACGCCUGAGUGCUUCCCUCUGAUUGGACAAACUUCUAGGCAAGCAUUAUUAUCCUCCUCUUUCUGAACCAAAUCCAGACGAGGAUCUAAUCGGAUAGUUCCCCGAUCCUUGCCCAGGCUGGCCUCAAACUUCAAAGAUGGCUCUGGAUUUCUGAUCCUCCUGACUGAUUCUACCUGGAACUGAAGGCUUGCACCACAGUGAGAUGUGUUAAGGAUCAAAGUCGGCCUCACACACACGAGGCCAGCACUCUACCAACUGAGCUACCUUCUGGCCUCUGUAAGCUUAAAUUCUUGUCAUAUCGUUUUGUUUAAAGUGCUUUGUGGUUGCAGAUUUCUGAGUGUGAGGGCUGGCAUUUCACCAUACAACUUGGAUAUGACCCACGACGCCUAUUGCUGUUGGCUCUGACCUGGAACGGAAUGCUAGUGAUGUUAAUUUCAUGGGUUCUGAGUAAUAAGCAGUUCUCCCUGGGUUUGAGAAUCAGCAUGGUUACCCAAGUAGUGUAACAACGAGACCCGGUGUGUCCUGGUCUUCCCAUCUCCCUUCAUGGCCCCAAACCAUGCAGUUGGGCUCCCAUGUGCUAGGUCUCAUUUCUAUUUCCAAGUUACAGUUUCAGCGGAGAGGAGAAGAGACCCUUGUUGAUGGCUCUCAGAGAUGCUUAAAAUAUAUUUCACUUUCUAAAUAGGUAAAAAGGAUUCAAAUAAACAUACUCUUCCUACAAAGAAUCACAACAGGAAAACCCAAACAAAACCACACAAAAUUCCCCCAGUAAGUGGCGUUUUCCUGUUAUCCUGAAAUUGCAACAGAAUACCGAACCUCCAGUGUCAAAACAAGCAUUUGCCGUCCCUUAACAUUUUACAUUUAGUAAGUUCACACACACACACACAUACACACACACACACAGAGACACAGAGACAGAGACAGAGACAGAGACAAAGACAGAGAGGCUGCACCCACCACUACUCUCCCUUCUGUAGCUUUCUGAGGCUGAGUCACACUCCCACUGCAUAUGCAAACUGAAGCUUAUCUAUCAAUCUGCGGAAGGACUUUUGUUUUUUCCCACCUUUUGACCAUUGUGAAGGAGAAUAUAUAAACAUUGCACAUUGCUGUACAAGUAACUUUUGUUUCCCCUCUUUACGGCUUUGGGUAUCUGCCCAGAAGCGAAACUGCCUAGGUACAGGUACACCCGAUGUUUCAUUUUUUGAGGACCCCAUCCCCCAAACACACACACCAUCACCUGGCACAGACACGCCUUUUUACAUUGCCACCAGGAUGUGAAGGGUCCAACUUCCUGCAGGCCUUGCCAGUAUUGAUUGCUCUCCUUACAAAUAAAGAAUAAAAAGUUGAGGCUGAAUCUUAACAACAGGAUGGGGACUGGUGCGACCGUAAGAACUUAGCAACUGUUCAUUUGUGCAGUCUGAUCACUGAUGUGUGGAAAUGGGAAUUUGUUGGGAAUUUUCUGGAGACAAGAUAUGGAAACAAUAAAACAAUUUAAUUUUUAUACCCUUGAAUAAACCAGUUAUAAAAAUAAAGUGCUAGGCAGAAG
ensembl:lincRNA Gm10857 predicted gene 10857